rnacentral:ncRNA from 1 species
UUACUUGAUAUUGACUGUAUACACUUGCACAAACUCGAGCAUUACACAUCUGUAAGUAUGAACAAAUUCAGACAGUGAAACUACGAAUGGAUCAUUAAAUUAGUUAAAGUUUGUUUGAGGGUAUUUGCUACUCAGAUAACCGUAGUAAUUCUAAAACUUAUACAUACAAACAACCUUAACUUAUGGAAAGGGAUGCAUUUAUUAGAUAAAACAUCAACACGGACUUUGCUCGUUGCUCUGAUGAUUCAUGAUAACUUGACGGAUCGCACAACCUUUGUGCCGGUAAUGCAUCAUUAAAAUUUCUGCCCUAUCAACUUUUGAUGGUAGGAUACUGGCACUAUGGUGGUGACAGUGACAAAGAAUUAGGGUUCAAUUCUAGAGAGGGAUCCUGAGAAACGGCUACCAUAUCCAAGGUAAGCAGCAAGCGCACAAAUUUCCCAAUCCUGACACGGAGAGGUAGUGACAAUUAAUAACAAUACCAGGCUCUAUGAGGUUUGUAAUUAGAAUGAGUACAAUCUAAAUCCCUUAAAGAGGAUCCAUUGGAGGGAAAGUCUUGUGCCAGCAGUUGUGGUAAUUCUAGGUCCAAUAACGUAUAUUUAAGAUGUUGCAGUUAAAAAUCUCAUAGUUGGACUUAGAGGUGGGUCGGUCGAUCCGCCUUACGGUGAGAACUGGUCUACUCAUCCCUAUUGCCGACGAUGCGCUCCUAGCCUUAAUUGGUCGAGUUGUUCCUCCGACGUUGUUACUUUGAAAAAAUAGAAUGCUCAAAGAAGGAUUACACUUGUAUACAUUAGCAUGGGAUACCAUCAUAGGAUUUCGAUCCUAAUUUGUUCGCCUUCAAGAUUGGAGUAAUGAUUAACAGGGAUAGUCGGGGACGUUCAUAUUUCAUAGUCAAUGGUAAAAUUCUUGGAUUUAUAAAAUACGAACAACUACGAAAGCACUUAAAAAUGAUGUUUUCAUUAAUCAAGAAUAAAAGUUGGGGACUCGAAGACGAUCAGAUACCAUCCUAGUCUCAACUAUAAAUGAUGCCAACUAGGGAUCGAUAGAUUUUUCUUUUAGGACUCCGUUAGCACCUUAUGAGAAAUCAAAGUCUUUUGGUUAUG